rnacentral:rRNA from 1 species
GAUGAACGCUGGCGGCGUGCCUAAUACAUGCAAGUCGAGCGAACGGACGAGAAGCUUGCUUCUCUGAUGUUAGCGGCGGACGGGUGAGUAACACGUGGAUAACCUACCUAUAAGACUGGGAUAGCUUCGGGAAACCGUAGCUAAUACCGGAUAAUAUUUUGAACCGCAUGGUUCAAAAGUGAAAGACGGUCUUGCUGUCACUUAUAGAUGGAUCCGCGCUGCAUUAGCUAGUUGGUAAGGUAACGGCUUACCAAGGCAACGAUGCAUAGCCGACCUGAGAGGGUGAUCGGCCACACUGGAACUGAGACACGGUCCAGACUCCUACGGGAGGCAGCAGUAGGGAAUCUUCCGCAAUGGGCGAAAGCCUGACGGAGCAACGCCGCGUGAGUGAUGAAGGUCUUCGGAUCGUAAAACUCUGCUAUUAGGGAAGAACAUAUGUGUAAGUAACUGUGCACAUCUUGACGGUACCUAAUCAGAAAGCCACGGCUAACUACGUG